AUGGCAGCGCCUGCCAGACCUGGGACAGUUAUUGCAGCCCCAGACAGGAGGCGCUGGCUGUGGUCAGUGCUGACAGUGGUGCUGGGGCUCUUGACAGCUGGAGUAUCAGCCUUGGAAGCAUAUACACCAAAAGAAAUCUUCAUGGCAAAUGGUACAUAAGGGAAGCUGACCUGCAAGUUCAAGUCUACUAAUAUGACUGGCAGGUUGACCUCAGUCUUCUGGAGCUUCCAGCCAGAGGGGGCUGACACCACCAUGUCAUUUUUCCACUAUUCCCAAGGGCAAGUAUACCUUGGGAAUUAUCCACCAUUUAAAGACAGAAUCAGCUGGGCUGAAGACCUUGACAAGAACGAUGCAUCAAUUAACACAGAAAAUAUGCAGUCUAUACACAAUGGCACCUAUAGCUGUGAUGUCAAAAACCCUCCUGACAUUGUUUCCAGUCUGGACACAUUAGGCUCUAUGUUGUAGAAAAAGAGAGUUUGCCUGUGUUUCCAGUUUGGGUAGUGGGGGGCAUAGUUACUACUGUGAUCCUAGGUCUCACUCUGCUCAUCAGCAUGAUUCUGGCUGUCCUCUAUAGAAGGAAAAACUCUAAACGGGGUUACAUCAGAGAGUUUGUCACCAGUUAAACAGGCUCCUCGGAAGUCCCACUCUGACACUGAGGGUUUUGUAAAGAGUCUGCCUUCUGGAUCUCACCAGGUCCCAGUCAUAUAUGCACAGUUAGACCACUCUGGUGGACAUCACAGUGACAAGAUUAACAAGUCAGAGUCUGUGGUGUAUGUGGAUAUCUGGAAAAAUUAAGAGAAGACCUAGAACAUAUCCUCAGCAAGAAACAGAACCAAACUGGACUCUGGUUCAGCAAAUGUAGCCCAUUACCACAUGUAGCCUUGGAGACCCAGGCAAGGACAAGUACAUGUGUACUCACAGAGGGAGAGAAAGAUAUGUACAAAAAUAUGUAUAAAUAUUCUAUUUAAUCUUCCUGAUGUGAGGAGCCAAUGUUGCAUGAUGAAAAGAUGGUAUGAUUCUAUAUAUG